rnacentral:rRNA from 1 species
UAGGGAAUCUUCCGCAAUGGGCGAAAGCCUGACGGAUCAACGCCGCGUGAGUGAUGAAGGUCUUCGGAUCGUAAAACUCUGUUAUUAGGGAAGAACAAAUGUGUAAGUAACUAUGCACGUCUUGACGGUACCUAAUCAGAAAGCCACGGCUAACUACGUGCCAGCAGCCGCGGUAAUACGUAGGUGGCAAGCGUUAUCCGGAAUUAUUGGGCGUAAAGCGCGCGUAGGCGGUUUUUUAAGUCUGAUGUGAAAGCCCACGGCUCAACCGUGGAGAGUCAUUGGAAACUGGAAAACUUGAGUGCAGAAGAGGAAAGUGGAAUUCCAUGUGUAGCGGUGAAAUGCGCAGAGAUAUGGAGGAACACCAGUGGCGAAGGCGACUUUCUGGUCUGUAACUGACGCUGAUGUGCGAAAGCGUGGGGAUCAAACAGGAUUAGAUACCCUGGUAGUCCACGCCGUAAACGAUGAGUGCUAAGUGUUAGGGGGUUUCCGCCCCUUAGUGCUGCAGCUAACGCAUUAAGCACUCCGCCUGGGGAGUACGACCGCAAGGUUG